CACGUAGGGUGCGAGCGUUGUCCGGAAUCAUUGGGCGUAAAGAGCUCGUAGGCGGUGCGUCGCGUCGGCCGUGAAAACCUGCAGCUUAACUGUGGGCUUGCGGUCGAUACGGGCAUCACUGGAGUUCGGCAGGGGAGACUGGAAUUCCUGGUGUAGCGGUGAAAUGCGCAGAUAUCAGGAGGAACACCGGUGGCGAAGGCGGGUCUCUGGGCCGAUACUGACGCUGAGGAGCGAAAGCGUGGGGAGCGAACAGG
rnacentral:rRNA from 1 species